GAUGAACGCUGGCGGCGUGCCUAACACAUGCAAGUCGAGCGGAGAUUUCUGCGUAGUAAUACAAAGGGAUCUUAGCGGCGGACGGGUGAGUAACACGUGAGCAAUCUGCCUUCUGCAGGGGAAUAACAUUGUGAAAACAGUGCUAAUACCGCAUGACAUAUCACCGGGGCAUCUCGGAGAUAUCAAAGGAGAAAUCCGGCAGAAGAUGAGCUCGCGUCCGAUUAGCUAGUUGGCGGGGUAAUGGCCCACCAAGGCGACGAUCGGUAGCCGAACUGAGAGGUUGAUCGGCCACAUUGGGACUGAGACACGGCCCAGACUCCUACGGGAGGCAGCAGUGGGGAAUAUUGGGCAAUGGGCGAAAGCCUGACCCAGCAACGCCGCGUGAAGGACGAAGGCCUUCGGGUUGUAAACUUCUUUGAUCAGGGACGAAUAAAUGACGGUACCUGAAGAACAAGCCACGGCUAACUACGUGCCAGCAGCCGCAGUAACAC
rnacentral:rRNA from 1 species